UUUUUCUUUUUUUUUAGUUUUAUCGAAGUAUAAUUUGUUGUUGUUGUUGUUGUUGUUGUUAUUGUUGCUAUUGGUCUUGGCAUCAAUAUGAAAAGAAAAAUAGAAUCAGUUGAAUAUUUACUAUCUUUAAGGAAAAAAAAACAAUUAGCAAUUCAGGAAAAGCAUAACUGAGUUCAGAGAAAAUUUCUCCCAUGCAUCCUUAAAUAGAACAUUAUGAAUUAUGAUAAACACCCUUUACAGUAUCCACAGCAAUUAAAUUUCAUAGGGAUUUUCGUAUGGAUUGCCAAAGUGUUAUCCAGAAAAAUCAGUUCUACAGAGGCCAGUAAAAUGCCAGCUAUGUACAGGGAAAAUCUGGCCUAAUCCAAGGACAAACUGAUAGUACUCAGAGUACUUCCCAGACUCUCUUUGAGAGAUCAGAUAGAACUGAAGAAUAAUGAAAAUUAAGUAACUUUUUAAGAACCUAGUCUAAAAAAAAAUGAAAAGAUCAUAAAGGUCAGAAAUGUAUACAAAUUUUUUUUUUUUUUUUGGUCUUUUUGCCUUUUCUUGAGCCACUCCCACGGCAUAUGGAGAUUCCCAGGCUAGGGGUCGAAUCGGAGCUGCAGCCUCUGGCCUACAACACAGCCACAGCAACGUGAGAUCCCAGCCGCGUCUGCGACCUACACCACAGCUCACUUAAGGAAACGCCAGAUCCUUAACCCACUGAGCAAGGCCAGGGACCAAACCCGCAACCUCAUGGUUCCUAGUCAGAUUCGUUAACCACUGAGCCACGACGGGAACUCCAGGAAUGUAUACAAAUUUAAGGUCCAGAUGAUUUUUCUUACUAAAGAAAAUGUCAUGCCUCUUAAUCCCUUGGUUUGCCCAUCACAAAGAAUCCUGGGCAGUCUAGGGAAAUGAUCAGUUUAAAGGUCAUUUCGUUUUUCAGAGGUUUUAUUCUGGAAAAAACAUGGAUAGCUAUUCCAAUUACCCCUAGAAAAGACAUUUAACCCACUCAUGUUUCAUUUCUUUUUCUCUUCCUCAUAGUAGGUUAUUAGAUUCACUUUUAAUAUUUUUUAAAAUUAGUCUGGAGAGGUCCCAUUGUGGCUCAGCAGGUUGAGGAUCCAGUAUUGUCUCAGAGGAUACAGGUUUGAUCCCUAGCCUCACUCAAUGGGUUACGAUCUGACAUUGCAGCAAUCUGCAGAGUAGGUUGCAGAUGCAGCUGGGAUCUGGUGUGGCUGUGGCAUAGGCCACAGCUGCAGCUCCAAUGUGACCCCUGGCCUGGUAACUUCUAUUUGCCUCAGGUGCAGCCAUAAAAAGAAAAAAAAAAAUUAAACUGGCUUUGAGUCUCCAGAUCAUAUGUUUUACCUGUAUAUUUAGGGGAUGAAUUAAAUGCCAGAUUUUGAGACCUCUGAAAAACAUUCAUACUGCUUAUGACAAGCCUAUUAAAUACAUAAAUAGCACCUUGGGAACCCAUAAGUAUUGUUAUUGCUCACGAAAGGAAACAUGGUACAGAAACAAGGGGAAGGAAAAGUGGAAUAAACUUGUGGCUAAAAACUGCAAAGUAUAAAUGCUGGAGAAAUGAAGCAAAGGAAAGGUCCACACUCUAAAAUGUUGAAUUGAGAGAUGGGUUGUAUGAUACGGUAAGGACCAGGGCAUUAUGGCUGCCAGUAGCAGAAUGCCCAGUCUGAACUCUGGUCCAGCAGCUACAGAACAGAAAUGAUAAGAGGCUACAAAGUAAAAACAAACAUCAAGUUCCUGCUGCAGUGGGUUAAGGAUCUGGCAUUGCCACAGCUAUGGCAUAGGUCUCAGCUGCAGCUUAGAUUCAAUCCAUGGCCCAGAAACUUCCAUAUGCCAUGGAUGCAGCAAAAAAAGAAAAAAAAAAAAAAAAAAAAA
rnacentral:lncRNA from 1 species